UACGUAGGGGGCGAGCGUUGUCCGGAUUUAUUGGGCGUAAAGAGCGUGUAGGCGGCCAGGUAGGUCUGCUGUGAAAACUCGAGGCUCAACCUCGAGACGUCGGCGGAAACCAUCUGGCUAGAGUCCGGAAGAGGAGAGUGAAAUUCCUGGUGUAGCGGUGAAAUGCGCAGAUAUCAGGAAGAACACCCGUGGCGAAGGCGGCUCUCUGGGACGGUACUGACGCUGAGACGCGAAAGCGUGGGGAGCGAACAGG
rnacentral:rRNA from 1 species